rnacentral:rRNA from 1 species
AGCGAACGCUGGCGGCAGGCCUAACACAUGCCAGUCGAACGAACUCUUCGGAGUUAGUGGCGGACGGGUGAGUAACACGUGGGAACGUGCCUUUAGGUUCGGAAUAACUCAGGGAAACUUGUGCUAAUACCGAAUGUGCCCUUCGGGGGAAAGAUUUAUCGCCUUUCGAGCGGCCCGCGUCUGAUUAGCUAGUUGGUGAGGUAAAGGCUCACCAAGGCGACGAUCAGUAGCUGGUCUGAGAGGAUGAUCAGCCACAUUGGGACUGAGACACGGCCCAAACUCCUACGGGAGGCAGCAGUGGGGAAUCUUGCGCAAUGGGCGAAAGCCUGACGCAGCCAUGCCGCGUGAAUGAUGAAGGUCUUAGGAUUGUAAAAUUCUUUCACCGGGGACGAUAAUGACGGUACCUGGAGAAGAAGCCCCGGCUAACUUCGUG